GCCGGGCGUGGUGGCGCACAUCUGUAAUCCCAGCUACUCAAGAGGUUGAGGCAGGAGAAUCACUUGAACCCGGGAGGCAAAGGUUGCAGUGAGCCAAGAUCAUGCCACUGUGCUCCAGCCUGGGCAACAGAGUGAGAAUCCUCAAAAAAAAAAAAAAUUAAAAAAAAAAAAAAGUACUUGCCUAGAGUGUUUGUUUGAUAGCAGUUAACACAUACUCAGCUUGGUCAUUUUGAGUAAUGACUUUUUUUUUUUUUUUUUGAGAUGGAGUUUCUCUCUUGUUGCCCAGGCUGGAGUGCAGUGGCGCGAUCUUGGCUCACUGCAACC
rnacentral:lncRNA from 1 species